AAAGGAAAAAGAAGAAAAAAUAAAAAUAAAAAUAAUUACUACACACAGCCAGCAGACAGCAAAAAAAAGGGGGAAAAAAGGGGGGGAAAGCCAAAAAAAAACCCAGAAAGCACACCAAUAACUUCCGAUUGAUUCCACAAGGGCAGUAAUUCAUUUACAUUAUGCUAUAAAUUUUCUCUGCCCAUAUCCCCGCACAUUCUCGGUCCAAUGCAUGUCUAUCUUUGCUCUGACCAACUAUUCAAAAUUAAUCUGAUGUUUCCCUUGUAAAAAUGUUUUGUACUGGUGACCAGUCCGUCCUUUGUUUUUUGGUAUCAUCUUGCAGUAAAAAGGUCAUAGUAUCCAUGUCCAUGUAUUCCCUUAAUUUGGUGAUCCAUGUGUCUUCCGAUGGGAUAUCUUUCGAACGCCAUCUUUGAGCUAUUAAAGCUCGAGCAGCUGCUCUUAUGUGAAAGAAUAACAUAUCUUCAUUUCUUUCUAAGUGAAAGUCGGUCAUAUUUAACAAAUAAUAUUCAGGUUUAAAAUCGAAAUUCUUAUCUAAGAUUCCUUUUGCAUAAUUAUGUAUCAUUUUCCAGAAACCUUUGACCUCUUUACAUUCCCACCAUACAUGUAAAAAUGUAAAAUAUCUAAAUUUUACAAAAACCAGAAAAAAGAAUGUUGGAAAUGCAAUAAUAAAACAGGGACUUUUUUUUACAUGUAACCCUACUCUCUAUUGAAUUAAUUAGUGCAGAGAUCUAUUGUAAUAGCAGUGGUAUUGAUUAAAUAAUUAUACUGUUCUUUAAAUGAAGACUUACAUGAAUUUUUAAAAACGUAUUUCAUUUUUUGCCUUUAUCUUUUUCCAUAUAUAAAACUCAAAUGAAGGAAGGAAGGAAAACAAAGCAAGGGCAAAGGAAGAAAAUAUGAUAGAACCAAUAAUGUGUGAGCUGGCAUAGCUGUGUAUCCUCCCCCUCUCUUUACAUACUUAUCUGGUGGUUGAGUUUAAACUCUGCCUUUCCUUAAUCUCUGCUUCAUCACUGUGUUACCAACCUGUAUUAUAGUUCCCUCUUGGGUAGAAAAUAUUCUUCCAGGCUCUGACUGGAAAGUGACAUUUGAAUCAAUCCACAACAUUUCAGCUGGGCAAGAUAUCACAGUUUCUUUCCAACACUGUCUCUAUUGCCUAGAUCAUAGGUAUUUUGUUUUGUCUUCUGAGAUCCUUGUUCUUCUUAAAUUAGCGGUUGAUUAAAAAGAGAAGAGAAAGAAUGAAUAUGAUUCUGCUUUCCAGCUUCAUGGCUUUGGUCUGCUGUUCCCUGUCCACUGUUGAAGCUCUAAAAUGCCGUGUCUGCUCAGAACACUACUUUCUUCAUGGCUGCAUCAAAGGAGCAGACUAUUGCUAUGCUCUACCUGGACAACAAUGCCGAACGACCAAAAUCAGGAGAAAAGGAAGAAAACCCUAUCAAACAAAAGGAUGCACUCUGCAGGGAGAGAAAUGCAAUGUUACAGAAAAUGUCAAAGGCUUUGGCAUUGUCCGAAAUAAAUGUUGUAGUAAAAGGCUCUGUAAUGUUCACUUAUGAAAUGUAAUAAAAUAAUUUCUUCAA